rnacentral:rRNA from 1 species
ACAGAACUUUCCAGAGAUGGAUUGGUGCCUUCGGGAACUGUGAGACAGGUGCUGCAUGGCUGUCGUCAGCUCGUGUUGUGAAAUGUUGGGUUAAGUCCCGCAACGAGCGCAACCCUUAUCCUUUGUUGCCAGCGGUCCGGCCGGGAACUCAAAGGAGACUGCCAGUGAUAAACUGGAGGAAGGUGGGGAUGACGUCAAGUCAUCAUGGCCCUUACGACCAGGGCUACACACGUGCUACAAUGGCGCAUACAAAGAGAAGCGACCUCGCGAGAGCAAGCGGACCUCAUAAAGUGCGUCGUAGUCCGGAUUGGAGUCUGCAACUCGACUCCAUGAAGUCGGAAUCGCUAGUAAUCGUGGAUCAGAAUGCCACGGUGAAUACGUUCCCGGGCCUUGUACACACCGCCCGUCACACCAUGGGAGUGGGUUGCAAAAGAAGUAGGUAGCUUAACCUUCGGGAGGGCGCUUACCACUUUGUGAUUCAUGACUGGGGUGAAGUCGUAACAAGGUAACCGUAGGGGAACCUGCGGUUGGAUCACCUCCUUACCUUAAAGAAGC